AUACGUAGGGUGCAAGCGUUAAUCGGAAUUACUGGGCGUAAAGCGUGCGCAGGCGGUUUUGUAAGACAGGGGGGAAAUCCCCGGGCUCAACCUGGGAACUGCCAUUGUGACUGCAAGGCUGGAGGGGGGCAGAGGGGGAUGGAUUUCCGCGUGUGGCAGGGAAAUGCGUAGAUAUGCGGAGGAACACCGAUGGCGAAGGCAAUCCCCUGGGCCUGCACUGACGCUCAUGCACGAAAGCGUGGGGAGCAAUCAGGAUUAGAUACCCUGGUAGUCCACGCCCUAAACGAUGUCAACUGGUUGUUGGGGAUUUAUUUUCUCAGUAACGAAGCUAACGCGUGAAGUUGACCGCCUGGGGAGUACGGCCGCAAGGUUAAAACUCAAAUGAAUUGGCGGGG
rnacentral:rRNA from 1 species